GUGUAAAACCACUCCACCCUAAAUGAACCUGAUCUCAGAAGCCAAGCAGGACUGGUCAUGGUUAGUGUUUAAAUAGGCCAGAGGCUCAGCAUCAGGGAUUAUCCUGGAGUCUAUCACA
rnacentral:rRNA from 1 species